GCUUGUCUCAAAGAUUAAGCCAUGCACGUCUGAGAAUAAAGAGUUUUCUCUGAAUCUGCGAAUGGCUCAUUAUAUCAGUUAUAGUUUAUUUGAUAGUCCUUUACUACUUGGAUAACCGUAGUAAUUCUUGAGCUAAUACAUGCGAAAAAUCUCGACUCACGGAGAGAUGCUUUUAUUAGAUCAAAACCAAACGGCUUCGGCCGUCUCAUUGGUGACUCUGAAUAACUUUGGGCUGAUCGUAUGGCCUUGUGCCGACGACGUUUCCUUCGAAGGUGUGCCCUAUCAACUGUCGACUGUGAUAUAGACGCUCACAGUGGUUUUGACGGGUAACGGGGAAUCAGGGUUCGAUUCCGGAGAGGGAGCCUUAAAAACGGCUACCACAUCCAAGGAAGGCAGCAGG
rnacentral:rRNA from 1 species